GUCGAACGGUAACGCGGUGAGAAGCUUGCUUCUCACCGGCGACGAGUGGCGAACGGGUGAGUAAUACAUCGGAACGUGUCCGCUCGUGGGGGACAACCAGCCGGAAGGUUGGCUAAUACCGCAUGAGUUCUACGGAAGAAAGAGGGGGACCCGCAAGGGCCUCUCGCGAGCGGAGCGGCCGAUGACUGAUUAGCCGGUUGGUGAGGUAACGGCUCACCAAAGCAACGAUCAGUAGCUGGUCUGAGAGGACGACCAGCCACACUGGGACUGAGACACGGCCCAGACUCCUACGGGAGGCAGCAGUGGGGAAUUUUGGACAAUGGGCGCAAGCCUGAUCCAGCUAUUCCGCGUGUGGGAUGAAGGCCCUCGGGUUGUAAACCACUUUUGUAGAGAACGAAAAGACACCUUCGAAUAAAGGGUGUUGCUGACGGUACUCUAAGAAUAAGCACCGGCUAACUACGUGCCAGCAGCCGCGGUAAUACGUAGGGUGCGAGCGUUAAUCGGAAUUACUGGGCGUAAAGGGUGCGCAGGCGGUUGAGUAAGACAGAUGUGAAAUCCCCGAGCUUAACUCGGGAAUGGCAUAUGUGACUGCUCGACUAGAGUGUGUCAGAGGGAGGUGGAAUUCCACGUGUAGCAGUGAAAUGCGUAGAUAUGUGGAAGAACACCGAUGGCGAAGGCAGCCUCCUGGGACAUA
rnacentral:rRNA from 1 species